rnacentral:sRNA from 1 species
GGAAAACUCCACUUACAGAAUUCGAUAGGCUAAUGAGCAUUACGAUAUUAAAUUAUCAAACACAUAUAGAUAAUCUCCUUUAAUUUUCAUCUACUCAGAAUUGAACAUUUUCAUAAUCUGCAAGUUCUGCUUUAUCUUGUCUGCUUUCAUUGGAAAUGAAAUGGUAUAUGUUGGUCGGUAAAAGACGAAUCAAAUUUGUAAACUAACAAUGAACUAUUGAAAGAGUAAAUCU